rnacentral:rRNA from 1 species
GACGAACGCUGGCGGCGUGCUUAACACAUGCAAGUCGAACGGAAAGGCCCUGCUUUUGUGGGGUGCUCGAGUGGCGAACGGGUGAGUAACACGUGAGUAACCUGCCCUUGACUUUGGGAUAACUUCAGGAAACUGGGGCUAAUACCGGAUAGGAGCUCCUGCUGCAUGGUGGGGGUUGGAAAGUUUCGGCGGUUGGGGAUGUACUCGCGGCUUAUCAGCUUGUUGGUGGGGUAGUGGCUUACCAAGGCUUUGACGGGUAGCCGGCCUGAGAGGGUGACCGGGGACAUUGGGACUGAGAUACGGACCAGACUCCUACGGGAGGCAGCAGUGGGGAAUAUUGCACAAUGGGCGGAAGCCUGAUGCAGCAACGCCGGGUGCGGGAUGACGGCCUUCGGGUUGUAAACCGCUUUCGCCUGUGACGAAGCGUGAGUGACGGUAAUGGGUAAAGAAGCACCGGCUAACUACGUG